UGGGGAAUCUUGCACAAUGGGGGAAACCCUGAUGCAGCGACGCCGCGUGAGCGAUGAAGCCCUUCGGGGUGUAAAGCUCUUUCGGCAGGAACGAUAAUGACGGUACCUGCAGAAGAAGCUGCGGCUAACUACGUGCCAGCAGCCGCGGUAAUACGUAGGCAGCGAGCGUUGUUCGGAGUUACUGGGCGUAAAGAGUGCGUAGGUGGUUCUCUAAGUUCGGUGUGAAAUCUCCCGGCUCAACUGGGAGGGUGCGCCGAAAACUGGAGGGCUGGAGUGCGGGAGAGGAGAGCGGAAUUCCUGGUGUAGCGGUGAAAUGCGUAGAUAUCAGGAGGAACACCUGUGGUGCAGACGGCUCUCUGGACCGCUACUGACACUGAGGCACGAAAGCGUGGGGAGCAAACAGGAUUAGAUACCCUGGUAGUCCACGCCCUAAACGAUGCAUACUUGGUGUGGGUCAUUCAGUUGAUCCGUGCCGGAGCUAACGCGUUAAGUAUGCCGCCUGGGGAGUACGGUCGCAAGGCUGAAACUUAAAUGAAUUGACGGGGUCAUAGCUGUUUCCUG
rnacentral:rRNA from 1 species